GCUGAUUCGCAAGCUUGGUAGCCCUAACUGUUAAUCAGGGGGUCGUUGGUUCGAGUCCAACUUCGGGCGCCA
rnacentral:tRNA from 5 species